UACAGAGGGUGCGAGCGUUGUCCGGAAUUAUUGGGCGUAAAGCGCGUGUAGGCGGCCAGGUAGGUCCGACGUGAAAACUGGAGGCUCAACCUCCAGCUGUCGUUGGAAACCAUCUGGCUAGAGUCCGGAAGAGGAGAGUGGAAUUCCUGGUGUAGCGGUGAAAUGCGCAGAUAUCAGGAAGAACACCAAUGGCGAAGGCAGCUCUCUGGGACGGUACUGACGCUGAGACGCGAAAGCGUGGGGAGCGAACAGG
rnacentral:rRNA from 1 species